CCAAUUUUUCCAACUCUUGGACUUUGACCCAGUAAAGUAUGGAUAAGAAAUGUAUCAGAUGGGUGUGAUUGAAAUUGCACUGAAACAAACAAAAUUACAUGGACCAUAUCUAUAUCUAUAUAUCUGUUGCCUUGCCGUAAGCUUCUCUUGUACAAGGCAAAAUGAUCAGGUUUGUGCUCAAGGGAUGCCUCCUCGGUUUUCUGGCGCUUACCACUCUAUUCUUUGCACAGAGCUUGCUUUUCGCCCCCAAUGGGGGGAAGAUGCAGAAAUUAGUUUAUGCAAGAGAUGAAGAAGAAUUUGCUCUAGCUUUUCCUGUAGGCCGGCUGGGACAAAGGAAGUUACUACGACAACUAGAGCGCAGACGACCACCUCAACCACCACCACCACCACCGAAACCGCCCCAAGGGCCAGGAAUGUGAGCUUAAUACCGCCUUCUAUAGAUAUGCCGUGUAUUGUUACAUAUCAUUAUGUGGCAUAAAUGUCAUCGGCAAAUAGCAAAAAAUAAAACAAUAUUGAUAUAUAUCCAAAUUGAUAUGAGAUAUCAGUUACUUUAAUUUUUAAAAAAUCAUUCAGAAUAAUAUCAGUUAUUUUCUUUUAAAUCAUAUAUUUAUGCUCA